CCGACAUGCUUCCUUUGCUAUGCCCACCUUGUAACCGCGCUCUGAUACCACUUGUCACGGACUUAGUCGUUUACUAAGCUCGUGCGGCACUUAGACAAGCCAAGACCCUUGAUCUUGCUAAGUCAGCCUUGCUCCCCCAAAUGCUUAGCUUGCUCCGCUAAGACACUCGCGACUCGAAAGCUUAAGAAGCUUGGUAGGCAACUCCUUGAAGAAUGGAAGCUCUUUAUUACUCAAAGAAGCCUUUACAAGUGCUUGGAUGCUCACUUGCUUGGUUAGGAAGUGAUUUGGGUGGUGCCUUGGCCAAAUGAG
rnacentral:lncRNA from 1 species